rnacentral:rRNA from 1 species
CCGGCGAAGAAGACACUCUCCUCAACCACCAUUAGCGCCCUGGACGACGACACCCUGCGCGAGAUCCUCAUCCGCCUACCCUCCCUCCCUAGCCUGGUACGCGCCGCUCUCAGCUGCCGCACCUUCCUCGACGCCGUCCGCUCAUCCCCAGCCUUCCGCCGUCGCUUCCGUGCGCUCCACCCACCCCCACUCUUAGGUCUCUUUCUCAGCAUGGAAGACACCGUCGUCCCUACCUUCGUGCCCCUCCGCUGCCGCUCCAACCCGGACCUCGCGGCCGCCGUCCGCGGCGCAGAUUUCCUCCUUGGCCGCCUGCCAGUCCCGGAAGAAGACGACGAGGAUGCCAUCGUCUACGAGUGGUCAAUCUGUGACUGCCACGACGGAUUUGUUCUUCUUGGCAGCUGGAGCACCCAGCAGUUGGCUGUCUACAACCCGCUCACGCGGACCCUGGAUCUCUUUCCCCUGCCGCCUGAUGAGGACCGCGAGGGCUUCAAUGUCGACUUCCACAUCCUCGCCUCAGAACAAGACUAUCGGUUGUUCCGCGUUGUGUGCGUCCGGCACAAUGAACGUGGCGCACGCGCCGUCGUCUUAUCAUCGAACACCAGGAAGUGGCAGAUGUUCCCAUGAGAAGAGAUCAACGGGCCCUGGCGUCAGAGUGGUAAGGUGGUGAAUGGCUGCAUCUAUUGGACCAUCGGAGUGCCGAAGGACGCCCGUGUGUUAAACACCACUACAACGCGAUUCUUCCGAAUGGAUAUGCCGCUGCGCAGGCGAGGGAGUGAAACACUGACCGCUGGUGAGACCAAGGAUGGGAGGCUCUGCAUGGUCUGCGUCGCUAUGGAACCAUCAAGAUUCGAAUCCGCGCUCGAUGUUUGGACCCGAAGUGCCGAUGACAAUGGUGUCGACAGGUGGAUGCUGGACAAGACACUUCUGUCGCGGGAGAUAUAUGAGAUCGUUUGGUGUGAAUUCGACAAGGAUAAUGUUAAGGUUCAACUGAGUGUUAAUUCGAUUAUUGAUGGAUUUGUGUACUUGCGUGCUUGCUGCGGGACGUGGCAGCAUCGUCAUUCGACUCACUGGCUCCUAUCCUUCUGCAUGGAAACAACGGUGCUGAACAACCUUGGUCGCAUCCUUAAUGGUGCUUCCUAUCCCUACAUUAUGCCAUGGCCUCAUUCGUUGGUACACAGCAAGGUGACUCAAGGUUGUUGUUUGACUUGUAGGAUGAAAUUUAAUUACAAAAAACUUGAUCUGUUUAAGUUAUGA